AUACGGAGGGUGCGAGCGUUAAUCGGAAUUACUGGGCGUAAAGCGUGCGUAGGCGGUUUGCUAAGUCAGAUGUGAAAGCCCCGGGCUUAACCUGGGAACUGCAUUUGAUACUGGCAGACUAGAGUAUGAUAGAGGGGGGUAGAAUUCCUGGUGUAGCGGUGAAAUGCGUAGAUAUCAGGAGGAAUACCAGUGGCGAAGGCGGCCCCCUGGAUCAAUACUGACGCUGAGGUACGAAAGCGUGGGGAGCGAACAGAAUUAGAAACCCUAGUAGUCC
rnacentral:rRNA from 1 species